rnacentral:rRNA from 1 species
UAGGGAAUCUUCGGCAAUGGACGAAAGUCUGACCGAGCAACGCCGCGUGAGUGAAGAAGGUUUUCGGAUCGUAAAACUCUGUUGUUAGAGUAGAACAAGGACGUUAGUAACUGAACGUCCCCUGACGGUAUCUAACCAGAAAGCCACGGCCAACUACGUGCCAGCAGCCGCGGUAAUACGUAGGUGGCAAGCGUUGUCCGGAUUUAUUGGGCGUAAAGCGAGCGCAGGCGGUUUCUUAAGUCUGAUGUGAAAGCCCCCGGCUCAACCGGGGAGGGUCAUUGGAAACUGGGAGACUUGAGUGGAGAAGAGGAGGAUGGAGUUCCAUGUGGAGCGGUGAGAUGCGUAGAUAUAUGAAGGAACGCCAGUGGCGAGGGCGGCUAUCUGGUCUGUAACUGACGCUGAGGCUCGAAAGCGUGGGGAGCAAACAGG